ACGGCUCAGUAACACGUGGACAACCUAACCUACAGAGGGGGAUAACCCCGGGAAACUGGGGAUAAUACCCCAUAGACUAUGGAUGCUGGAAUGCUUCGUAGUUGAAAGGUCCGCCGCUGUAGGAUGGGUCCGCGGCCGAUUAGGUUGUUGUUGGGGUAACGGCCCAACAAGCCUGUAAUCGGUACGGGUUGUGGGAGCAAGAGCCCGGAGAUGGAUUCUGAGACACGAAUCCAGGCCCUACGGGGCGCAGCAGGCGCGAAAACUUUGCAAUGCGGGAAACCGUGACAAGGGAACUCUGAGUGCCCGUUAAAUCGGGCUGUCCAUCGGUAUAAAUAACCGGUGAAGAAAGGGCCGGGCAAGACCGGUGCCAGCCGCCGCGGUAAUACCGGCGGCUCGAGUGGUGGCCACUAUUACUGGGCUUAAAGCGUUCGUAGCUGGUUUGUUAAGUCUCUGGGGAAAUCUUCCGGCUCAACCGGAAGGCGUCUCAGGGAUACUGGCAGACUAGGGACCGGGAGAGGUGAGAGGUACUCCAGGGGUAGGAGUGAAAUCCUGUAAUCCUUGGGGGACCACCUGUGGCGAAGGCGUCUCACCAGAACGGCUCCGACAGUGAGGGACGAAAGCUGGGGGAGCAAACCGGAUUAGAUACCCGGGUAGUCCCAGCUGUAAACGAUGCGCGUUAAGUGUAUCGGUGACCACGAGUCACCGAGGUGCCGAAGAGAAAUCGUGAAACGUGCCGCCUGGGAAGUACGGUCGCAAGGCUGAAACUUAAAGGAAUUGGCGGGGGAGCAC
rnacentral:rRNA from 1 species